rnacentral:rRNA from 1 species
UACAGAGGGUGCGAGCGUUGUCCGGAAUCACUGGGCGUAAAGGGCGUGUAGGCGGCUGGAUAAGCCGCGUGUGAAAUCCCGGGGCUCAACCCCGGAACGGCACGCGGGACUGUUCGGCUAGAGAAUGGUAGAGGCAAGUGGAAUUCCUGGUGUAGCGGUGGAAUGCGUAGAGAUCAGGAAGAACACCGGUGGCGAAGGCGGCUUGCUGGGCCAUUUCU